AAAAAACAAAAAAAGUAAAUAUUUCUCCUUAACUAUAUCGAUGACGGCAACACAACAAAACCCUAUUCAAGCAAAAGUUGGGUAGUUGAGGAAACGAUGUAAUCAUACCCGAAUGACCCGUCACCUAAGAUAACUAUAGGAAAGGAGCUUAAUUGCUUGAUUGCUUAAUGGGAUUUCAGGUGUAUUUUUAGGCCAGUCUGAUGAAUUGUUGAUCAAAAUAUUUUCACCCCCAAACUUACGCACUUUUCGGAUCGUCGGAUCGUAUUUGUACUUCUCGACAUCGCAAAAAUUGAAUAGAGAGGUGCAAUUGUGCAUAUGUACGUUUACAAGUCCAUUGGCGAAAUUAUGAAAACGACCUGAUUCUCUUCACGAGCAAUCGCCUACUACAACGCUGGAAGACAUCUCGAUUAACGACUUACAACUAAUCUCGAUUUGAAAUUCGCCUUGAAUAGCAAAAGCGAGAAAUUAGUCGCGAUCGAUUCAGGCUACACAUCUACAAUAUGUUAUGCUAUAAAACAAGAAAUGUUUUUGAGUCGAAAACGCAAAAGUUUCCUAAAUGAAUGCAGCCCUCUUGCAACAUUUUAUCUAUUAAGAUUGAAGUUUGUUUGCAUUUGAAGAACUUCAGGCGAGCCUGGGGUAAAUUGAUGCAAGGCGUCUCUCUCCGUAUUUUACAUAUUUACUGUUUAUGUUUCUCGUUGCAAGGCACGGGUGUUAGUUAUUCAAUUAAUAUUUGAUAUGAUUAAGCGCCGGUA